CAGCAGCCGCCGCGGGAAUGCGGAGGGUGCAAGCGUUAAUCGGAAUUACUGGGCGUAAAGCGUGCGUAGGCGGUUCGUUAAGUCUGUUGUGAAAGCCCCGGGCUCAACCUGGGAAUGGCAAUGGAUACUGGCGAGCUAGAGUGUGUCAGAGGAUGGUGGAAUUCCCGGUGUAGCAGUGAAAUGCGUAGAGAUCGGAAGGAACAUCUGUGGCGAAGGCGACUAUCUGGGCCAACACUGACACUGAGGCACGAAAGCGUGGGGAGCAAACAGGAUUAGAUACCCCCGUAGUCCCUGUCUCUUAUAC
rnacentral:rRNA from 1 species